rnacentral:rRNA from 1 species
UGGUGUAGCGGUGAAAUGCUUAGAUAUCACGAAGAACUCCGAUUGCGAAGGCAGCCUGCUAAGCUGCAACUGACAUUGAGGCUCGAAAGUGUGGGUAUCAAACAGGAUUAGAUACCCUGGUAGUCCACACGGUAAACGAUGAAUACUCGCUGUUUGCGAUAUACAGCAAGCGGCCAAGCGAAAGCGUUAAGUAUUCCACCUGGGGAGUACGCCGGCAACGGUGAAACUCAAAGGAAUUGACGGGGGCCCGCACAAGCGGAGGAACAUGUGGUUUAAUUCGAUGAUACGCGAGGAACCUUACCCGGGCUUAAAUUGCAGAUGAAUUACGGUGAAAGCCGUAAGCCGCAAGGCAUCUGUGAAGGUGCUGCAUGGUUGUCGUCAGCUCGUGCCGUGAGGUGUCGGCUUAAGUGCCAUAACGAGCGCAACCCUUGUUGUCAGUUACUAACAGGUUCCGCUGAGGACUCUGACAAGACUGCCAUCGUAAGAUGUGAGGAAGGUGGGGAUGACGUCAAAUCAGCACGGCCCUUACGUCCGGGGCUACACACGUGUUACAAUGGGGGGUACAGAGGGCCGCUACCACGCGAGUGGAUGCCAAUCCCCAAAACCUCUCUCAGUUCGGACUGGAGUCUGCAACCCGACUCCACGAAGCUGGAUUCGCUAGUAAUCGCGCAUCAGCCACGGCGCGGUGAAUACGUUCCCGGGCCUUGUACACACCGCCCGUCAAGCCAUGGGAGCCGGGGGUACCUGAAGUGCGUAACCGCGAGGAGCGCCCUAGGGUAAAACUGGUGACUGGGGCUAAGUCGUAACAAGGUAGCCGUACCGGAAGGUGCGGCUG